ACCUACAUGACUUGAAUUUAAAUAGCUGGCAAUGGACCAACAACUCCUUCGACUGCUCCAGUUGGUUCUCCUUCUGGUUCAUCAGCUGAAUCACCUGAAGGCUCAAUUAUUCCUUCUGCUUCAGACUUUCCCUCAGGUGCAGGAUCUAAAACUGUGCCAUCAAUAGACGGUGGUUCAUCUGAUGGAAACGCUAUUAAAGUCCCCUCCCACUUGGUGCUCUAUCUUCUUGCCCUUGUGUCUUGUGUCUUAACCUUCACCAAGUUCUGAUUAUUUUGAGCCAACAGAGAUUUGAGUGCUGAAUUUUUAUGUUUAGUGUUCCUUGCCAUAGAAGAUAUAUAUUUGACCUCGAAUAAAUAAAGGAAUAUUUAAUACAUGAAUUUGAUAAGAAGUACUUGUUGGUGCUGA